rnacentral:rRNA from 1 species
UUCUUUAUCACCGAGUGCUUGCACUCACCGAUAAAGAGUUGAGUGGCGAACGGGUGAGUAACACGUGGGCAACCUGCCCAAAAGAGGGGGAUAACACUUGGAAACAGGUGCUAAUACCGCAUAACCAUAGUUACCGCAUGGUAACUAUGUAAAAGGUGGCUAUGCUACCGCUUUUGGAUGGGCCCGCGGCGCAUUAGCUAGUUGGUGGGGUAAAGGCUUACCAAGGCAAUGAUGCGUAGCCGAACUGAGAGGUUGAUCGGCCACAUUGGGACUGAGACACGGCCCAAACUCCUACGGGAGGCAGCAGUAGGGAAUCUUCCACAAUGGGCGAAAGCCUGAUGGAGCAACGCCGCGUGGGUGAAGAAGGUCUUCGGAUCGUAAAACCCUGUUGUUAGAGAAGAAAGUGCGUGAGAGUAACUGUUCACGUUUCGACGGUAUCUAACCAGAAAGCCACGGCUAACUACGUGCCAGCAGCCGCGGUAAUACGUAGGUGGCAAGCGUUAUCCGGAUUUAUUGGGCGUAAAGGGAACGCAGGCGGUCUUUUAAGUCUGAUGUGAAAGCCUUCGGCUUAACCGGAGUAGUGCAUUGGAAACUGGGAGACUUGAGUGCAGAAGAGGAGAGUGGAACUCCAUGUGUAGCGGUGAAAUGCGUAGAUAUAUGGAAGAACACCAGUGGCGAAAGCGGCUCUCUGGUC